rnacentral:rRNA from 1 species
UACGAGGGGUGCAAGCAUUAAUCGGAAUCAUUGGGCGUAAAGGGCGCGUAGGCGGGGAUGUAAGUCAGGUGUGAAAUACCAAAGCUCAACUUUGGUGCUGCAUUUGAAACUGCAUUUCUUGAGGACUGACGGAGAAAGCGGAAUUCCAUGAGUAGCGGUGAAAUGCGUAGAUACAUGGAGGAACACCGGUGGCGAAAGCGGCUUUCUAGUUUUUACCUGACGCUGAGGCGCGAGAGCAAGGGGAGCAAACAGG